GAUGAACGCUGGCGGCGUGCCUAAUACAUGCAAGUCGAGCGAACGGACGAGAAGCUUGCUUUUCUGAUGUUAGCGGCGGACGGGUGAGUAACACGUGGAUAACCUACCUAUAAGACUGGGAUAACUUCGGGAAACCGGAGCUAAUACCGGAUAAUAUUUUGAACCGCAUGGUUCAAAAGUGAAAGACGGUCUUGCUGUCACUUAUAGAUGGAUCCGCGCUGCAUUAGCUAGUUGGUAAGGUAACGGCUUACCAAGGCAACGAUGCAUAGCCGACCUGAGAGGGGGAUAGGGAACACAGGGAAGGAGAAAGGGCCGAGAAUAAGACGGGAGGAAGAAGGAGGGAAGUGUAAGAAAGGGGAGAAAGACUGAAGGAGAAAGGACGAGGGAGUGAGGAAGGGCUGAGGAUAGGAAAAAAAGGUGAUGAGGGAAGAAAAAAUGGGCAAGAAAAAAGGAAGGGAUUGACGGGAACGAAAGAGAAAGAAACGGAUAACUACGUG
rnacentral:rRNA from 1 species